rnacentral:rRNA from 1 species
AUUCCCCUAGUAACUGCGAGUGAAGCGGGAAAAGCUCAAAUUUAAAAUCUGGCAGUCUUUGGCUGUCCGAGUUGUAAUCUAGAGAAGUAUUAUCCGCGCUGGACCGUGUACAAGUCUCCUGGAAUGGGGCGUCAUAGAGGGUGAGAAUCCCGUCUUUGACACGGACUGCCAGGGCUUUGUGAUGUGCUCUCAAAGAGUCGAGUUGUUUGGGAAUGCAGCUCAAAAUGGGUGGUAAAUUCCAUCUAAAGCUAAAUAUUGGCGAGAGACCGAUAGCGAACAAGUACCGUGAGGGAAAGAUGAAAAGAACUUUGGAAAGAGAGUUAAACAGUACGUGAAAUUGCUGAAAGGGAAACGCUUGAAGUCAGUCACGUUGGCCAGGGAUCAACCUUGCUUUUUUGCUUGGCUUACUUUCUGGUUGAUGGGUCAGCAUCAAUUUUGACUGGUGGAAAAAGUUCAAGGGAAUGUGGCAUCUUCGGAUGUGUUAUAGCCUUUGUUCGCAUACACUGGUUGGGAUUGAGGAACUCAGCAUGCCGCAAGGCCGGGUUUUUAACCACGUACGUGCUUAGGAUGCUGGCAUAAUGGCUUUAAUCGACCCGUCUUGAAACACGGACCAAGGAGUCUAACAUGCCUGCGAGUGUUUGGGUGAAAAACCCGAGCGCGUAAUGAAAGUGAAAGUUGAGAUCCCUGUCGUGGGGAGCAUUGACGCCCGGAUCUGACCUUUUGUGACGAUUCUGCGGUAGAGCAUGUAUGUUGGGACCCGAAAGAUGGUGAACUAUGCCUGAAUAGGGUGAAGCCAGAGGAAACUCUGGUGGAGGCUCGUAGCGAUUCUGACGUGCAAAUCGAUCGUCAAAUUUGGGUAUAGGGGCGAAAGACUAAUCG